UGGGGAAUAUUGGACAAUGGGCGCAAGCCUGAUCCAGCAACGCCGCGUGGAGGAUGAAGGUCUUCGGAUCGUAAACUCCUGUCAGGCGGGACGAAGGUCUCGGGGCAAAUAGUCUUGAGGCUUGACGGUACUGCCAGAGGAAGCCCCGGCUAACUCCGUGCCAGCAGCCGCGGUAAUACGGAGGGGGCGAGCGUUAUUCGGAAUUAUUGGGCGUAAAGGGCGCGUAGGCGGCUUGAUAAGUCAAAGGUGAAAUCCCUCGGCUCAACUGAGGAACUGCCUUUGAAACUGUCUGGCUCGAGUCCGGGAGGGGGUGGCGGAAUUCCCAGUGUAGCGGUGAAAUGCGUAGAUAUUGGGAGGAACACCAGUGGCGAAGGCGGCCACCUGGACCGGAUCUGACGCUGAUGCGCGAAAGCGUGGGUAGCAAACAG
rnacentral:rRNA from 1 species